rnacentral:rRNA from 1 species
GUGCCAGCCGCCGCGGUAAUACGGAGGAUCCAAGCGUUAUCCGGAUUUAUUGGGUUUAAAGGGAGCGUAGAUGGAUUUUUAAGUCAGUUGUGAAAGUUCGGGGCUCAACCCCGUAAUUGCAGUUGAUACUGGAUAUCUUGAGUACAGUUGAGGUAGGCGGAAUUCGUGGUGUAGCGGUGAAAUGCUUAGAUAUCACGAAGAACUCCGAUUGCGAAGGCAGCUUACUAAGCUGUAACUGACAUUGAGGCUCGAAAGUGUGGGUAUCAAACAGGAUUAGAUACCCUGGUAGUCCACACGGUAAACUAUGGAUACUCGCUGUAGGCGAUACACAGUCUGCGGCCAAGCGAAAGCAUUAAGUAUCCCACCUGGGGAGUACGCCGGCAACGGUGAA